rnacentral:rRNA from 1 species
UUCGCAAUGCCCGAAAGGGUGACGAAGCGACGCCGCGUGUGGGAAGAAGGCCUUCGGGUUGUAAACCACUGUCGGGAGUUAAGAAAUGCAAGGAUAUGAAUAGUGUCUUUGCUUGACUAAGGCUCCGGAGGAAGCCACGGCUAACUCUGUGCCAGCAGCCGCGGUAAUACAGAGGCGGCAAGCGUUGUUCGGAAUUAUUGGGCGUAAAGAGCACGUAGGCGGCUAUGUAAGUCGGUUGUGAAAGCCUUCCGCUCAACGGGAGAACAGCAUCCGAUACUACAUGGCUUGAGUGCGGGAGGGGAGAGUGGAACUUCUGGUGGAGCGGUGAAAUGCGUAGAUAUCAGAAGGAACGCCGGCGGCGAAAGCGGCUCUCUGGCCCAUAACUGACGCUGAGUGUGCGAAAGCUAGGGGAGCAAACGGGAUUAGAUACCCCGGUAGUCCUAGCCCUAAACGAUGGGCACUAAGUAGAGGGGUUUU